UGUUUGAUCCUGGCUCAGAGCGAACGUUGGCAGUGUGUCUUAAGCAUGCAAGUCGAACGGCAGCAGGCCAUAUAGCAAUAUAUGGUGCUGGCGAGUGGCGAACUGGUGAGUAACACGUAAGAAUCUGCCCUCUGGUGGGGGAUAACUCAUGGAAACAUGAGCUAAUACCGCAUGAAGCCGAAAGGUAAAAGGAGAAAUCCGCCAGUGGAUGAGCUUGCGUCCCAUUAGCUAGUUGGUAGGGUAAGAGCCUACCCAAGGCGAUGAUGGGUAGCUGGCCUGAGAGGGUGGUCAGCCACACUGGGACUGAGAUACGGCCCAGACUCCUACGGGAGGCAGCAGCUAAGAAUCUUCCUCAAUGGGGGAAACCCUGAAGGAGCGACACUGCGUGCAGGAUGAAGGCCCUUUGGGUUGUAAACUGCUUUUGUAGGGGAGAAAUAACCGAAUGGGAUGAUAGUACCCUACGAAUAAGUCCCAGGCUAA
rnacentral:rRNA from 1 species